ACAGCUGAUCUUGUUCAAAUCAUAUCCAAAUCUGCUGAAGAUUGGUACAUUUUUGUCUUCGAGGAAGCAAUUGUUGUUCAUUUAGUCACUAAUAAUGGAUACCAUUGAUGAAGAUGUCAUUUAAGAAUAACAAAUGAAUGCAACAAAGAUCAUGAACCGGAACCGAAGUUAACAAAAUGCAGUUUGUUGGACAACCCAUACCUUUUUGGUUAACUUAACCAUGAUGAACAACCCAGCUUAUGUAUUGGACAAUAUCCAGCAUGUGUCAUAGCCAAGAGAGAUGCUGCUGCUUAUGAUAUGUAAUGGUAAAGACAGAUUAGAAGUACAGGAUACAGUACAACAAACAGUCAAAAGUUAGCUUACAAGAUUUGUGGAAACACUAAACAUAGGAUUGUGAAGAUAUAUAUUAUUUGACAAUCUGAAUAUAACAUUCACAGUAGAUAGGUCAUUUCAAAGAAAGUGCUCAUGUGCUCAAAUUAUGUUGUAUUUGAUAACUUCAUACUAUGGAGAUAAUGAAUUUGUGCAAGACAUUAGAAUGUGUUUUGUACAUUCUAUCAAUCAUGAUCCAUCAAAACUGAACAUUACUUGUUUAAAUGGCUAACAAAUUGAACAAUACUGUUAUAUCUUUAUAAACUGAUUUUUGUUUUGAAAUUUUACAUCUAUUAUUUC